GGGCCCUGUAGUGUAUGCCAUAUCAGAUUGCAAAUCUGAAGGAACGGGCUAGUUACCCGUCGGGGCCUU
rnacentral:tRNA from 1 species